rnacentral:rRNA from 1 species
UACGUAGGGUGCGAGCGUUGUCCGGAUUUAUUGGGCGUAAAGAGCUCGUAGGCGGUUUGUCGCGUCGGCCGUGAAAUCUCCACGCUUAACGUGGAGCGUGCGGUCGAUACGGGCAGACUAGAGUUCGGUAGGGGAGACUGGAAUUCCUGGUGUAGCGGUGAAAUGCGCAGAUAUCAGGAGGAACACCGGUGGCGAAGGCGGGUCUCUGGGCCGAUACUGACGCUGAGGAGCGAAAGCGUGGGGAGCGAACAGG